ACGUCUUUAUAUUAUCUAAUUUGAUUAAAAUAUAACAUCAUGCUGGCCUCUAUUAAAAAGAUAAAUUUAAAUAUAAAAAAUAAAAAAUAUUCCUUCAAUUUUAACUCAAUUUUUUUUUACACCUCCUAUACUUUAAAAAAUGUCAAACUGACUAUUCUAUUAUCGAUAUAUUACUGUAUGAUCCAGUAGUUCACUUACCAACAAAAUAUAUUAUCUUUUCCUCUUAAUGGAUAGAAAUAUUUCUCUAUCAUGGAUGUAUUUGGAGAAGAAAGAGGAUGAGAAGGAGGAAGAAGGGACCACUGCGGAGGAAUAUACCUUAUGGAUGGCUAGGAGGAGGAAGAGGAUGAGGGACAAGGAGAGGUGGUGGAAGAGUGGGUGGAGACAGAGAAAGCCAUCAUGAAGAAGUAGAAAUAGAUGAGGAGGAAGAAGAAAAGAGAAGAAAAAAAGAGGAAUACUGGUGAUGGAG
rnacentral:lncRNA from 1 species